rnacentral:rRNA from 1 species
UACGUAGGGACCGAGCGUUGUCCGGAAUCAUUGGGCGUAAAGAGCGUGUAGGCGGCUAUUUAAGUCCUGCGUGAAAUCCUGCGGCUCAACCGCAGACGGUCGUGGGAAACUGGAUGGCUAGAGUGCGGGAGAGGAGAGUGGAAUUCCCGGUGUAGCGGUGAAAUGCGCAGAUAUCGGGAAGAACACCCGUGGCGAAGGCGGCUCUCUGGAACGCAACUGACGCUGAGGCACGAAAGCGUGGGGAGCGAACAGG